rnacentral:rRNA from 1 species
GGACUACCAGGGUAUCUAAUCCUGUUUGCUACCCACGCUUUCGUGUUUCAGCGUCAGUUACGGUCCAGAGAGCCGUCUACACCGCCGGUGUUCCUCCUGAUAUCUACGCAUUUCACCGCUACACCAGGAAUUCCACUCUCCUCUCCCGCACUCCAAGUCAUUCAGUAUUCGGCGCACCCUCCCAGUUAAGCCGGGAGAUUUCACACCAAACUUAAACAACCGCCUACACACCCUUUACGCCCAGUAACUCCGAACAACGCUUGCUGCCUACGUAUUACCGCGGCUGCUGGCAC